rnacentral:misc_RNA from 1 species
CGGCGGCAAUGGCGACCGAGCUUGAAGAGUUGGUGGGAUUUCUUUCAGCUCCUUCUCUGCCAGUGCAGAAGGCUGCUGUUGAUAUCGUUCGGGACUUAACCGGGUCUGAAGAUGGGUUGCUGUCCCUUUCUAAGUAUGCCAAUAUUGUGAUUUCAUCAUUAUCUCGACUUUUAAGCCAAAAAAAGGAGGUCUCUGAGCCUGCAGC